rnacentral:rRNA from 1 species
GGGUCAGUAGGUUGGUCGUGCCACCGGUACGUACUGGUCUCACUGAUUCCUCCUUCCCGAAAAACCGUAAUGCCAUUAAUUUGGUGUUGCGGGGAAACAGGACUGUUACUUUGAAAAAAUUAGAGUGUUUAAAGCAAGCUAACGCUUGAAUACAUUAGCAUGGAAUAAUGAAAUAGGACGAUCGAUCCUAUUUUGUUGGUUUCUAGGAUUGACGUA